UACGUAGGCAGCAAGCGUUGUUCGGAAUUACUGGGCGUAAAGAGUGUGUAGGCGGUGCUCUAAGUUCGGUGUGAAAUCUCCCGGCUUAACUGGGAGGGUGCGCCGGAAACUGGAGUGCUCGAGCGUGGAGAGGAAAGCGGAAGUUCCUGGUGUAGCGGUGAAAUGCGUAGAUAUCAGGAGGAACACCUGCGGUGUAGAGCGGCUUUCUGGACCAUUGCUGACGCUGAGACACGAAAGCGUGGGUAGCAAACAGG
rnacentral:rRNA from 1 species